rnacentral:rRNA from 1 species
CCCUUAGAUGUUCUGGGCCGCACGCGCGCUACACUGACUGACUCAACGAGUGUACAACCUGCUUCGACAGAAGUGGGUAAUCUUUUGAAAUUCAGUCGUGAUGGGGCUAGAUUAUUGCAACUAUUAAUCUUCAACGAGGAAUGCCUAGUAAGCGCGAAUCAUCAGUUCGCGUUGAUUACGUCCCUGCCCUUUGUACACACCGCCCGUCGCACCUACCGAUUGAAUGGUCCGGUGAAGCCUCCGGAUUGGCGCGCACCUCGGUGCCGCCGAGAAGUUGGCUAAACCUUACCAUUUAGAGGAAGGUGAAGUCGUAACA